rnacentral:rRNA from 1 species
UCUGGUUGAUUCUGCCAGUGACAUAUGCUUCUCUCAAAGAUUAAGCCAUGCAUGUGUAAGUGCAAGCCAUUAUAUAUAAGGUGAAACCGCGGAAGGCUCAUUAUAUCAGUCAUAGUUCAAUGGAUUGUACCCAGUUACUUGGAUAACUGCGGAAAUACUGGAGCUAAUACAUGCCAACGGAGUUCUGACCGGAGACGGGAGGAACGCUUUUAUUAGAUCAAAACCAAUCGGGGGCUUUUGCCCUCGUGUUUUUGGUGACUCUGAAUAACUUUGAGCUGAUCGCAAGGCCUCGUGCCUGCGACGCAUCUUUCAAAUGUCUGCCCUAUCAACUUUCGAUGGUAAGUUCUAUGCUUACCAUGGUUGUAACGGGUAACGGGGAAUCAGGGUUCGAUUCCGGAGAGGGAGCCUGAGACACGGCUACCACAUCCAAGGAAGGCAGCAGGCGCGCAAAUUACCCACUCCCGGCACGGGGAGGUAGUGACGAAAGAUAACGAUACGGGACUCAUCCGAGGCCUCGUAAUCGGAAUGGCAACACUUUAAAUCCUUUAUGGAGGACCUAACUGAGGGCAAGUCUGGUGCCAGCAGCCGCGGUAAUUCCAGCUCAGUUAGCGUAUAUCAAAGUUGUUGCGGUUAAAAAGCUCGUAGUUGGAUCUGUGUCAUGCACGGCUGGUUCACCGCCCGUCGGUGCUUACUGGUUCGUUGCGUGAUGUCAUGCCGGUGGCGUGUCUAGCUACCCCUGCGGGGUGUGGGCGGCGUCCUUUUGAAAUCCUACUCUGGUGCUCUUCAUUGAGUGUCGAGGUGGGCCGGCACAUUUACUUUGAACAAAUUAGAGUGCUCAAAGCAGGCUCAAUGCCCGAAUAUUUUUGCAUGGAAUAAUGGAAUAGGACUUCGGUCCCAUUUUGUUGGUUUUAAGGACCUGAAGUAAUGAUAAAUGGAGACAGGCGGGGGCAUUCGUAUUGCUACGUUAGAGGGGAAAUUCUUGGAUCGUAGCAAGACGGACUGAAGCGAAAGCAUUUGCCAAGGAUGUUCUCGUUGAUCAAGAACGAAAGUUUGGGGCUUGAAGGCGAUCAGAUACCGCCCUAAUCCAAACCAUAAACUAUAUAGACUGGCCUUCUGCGGGAUGUCCAUUGAUGCAUCCGCCGGCAGCCUACGAGAAAUCAUAAGUUUUUGUAUUCCGGGGGAAGUAUGGUUGCAAAGCUGAAACUUAAAGA